rnacentral:lncRNA from 1 species
GUGGCAGAGGCCUAGUCUUGGUGCUUCUGCCCUGACACGCACAACGGAGCACACGUGUGAAGCACAGAGGCAGGCGAGCACUGCCACCUUUGUGCAAAUGAUGUGGUAGAGAUCUUUGUAGAAGAUGAUGUGGUAUUGCAGUCUGUGUCCUCUAUUGCAUACUUCAAGCUGCCUGCUUGGACUUCCAUCUUAAUUCGCAAGUGCAGUUUGAAAGACGCCCCAUUUGGGCAUCAGAUCUGUGAGGAGCCUGUUGUGGCCUUCUUCCAAGGGAACUGCUUGGUGUGGAGGUGUAUUUUCAGGUUUGACUUAUGUAUUGACUUUAAGGAUUUAGAAAAUUAUUAAAGUGUUCUGAUAUCAUCUGGUUCAGCUGGUGACAAGGGAAUUUGGAAAAGAUUAAAAUUGAACGAAGGGGUUUUAUUUUAUUAUGCAAAGGAAAGGCAAAUUAAAUUAAAUCACAAUGUGUUGGUGGUUUAAAAACAAAACAAAAAAAUCAAAUCAAAACAAACAAACAAACAAACAAAAAACACACCAGAAAUCAGCCUAAUCUUAAAAUCUUAUAAAUUAUACCUGUAAUACGCUAACAGGAC